CGGGACGGGUGAGUAACGCGUGGAUAACCUGCCUCAUACAGGGGGAUAACAGUUAGAAAUGACUGCUAAUACCGCAUAAGCGCACAGGACCGCAUGGUCCGGUGUGAAAAACUCCGGUGGUAUGGGAUGGAUCCGCGUCUGAUUAGCUGGUUGGUGAGGUAACGGCCCACCAAGGCGACGAUCAGUAGCCGACCUGAGAGGGUGGCCGGCCACAUUGGGACUGAGACACGGCCCAAACUCCUACGGGAGGCAGCAG
rnacentral:rRNA from 1 species